AUGCAGUUGACGAGUCCAAAACAGAAUGAAACGCUCGUCAAACUGGAU
rnacentral:hammerhead_ribozyme from 1 species